ACUCAUAUGUAGAUCAAACUAUUAUUUCGCAUACUUUUGGUAAUAGGUAGGGACUGUAAUUGUAGCGCAGUCCUUGUUAGUUCCUGCCCCGCAUGGAACUAUUGCGGAGGCUAAAAUUUUAAAUCGCGAUUAAUCUAGUUGUUUUUAGCGAAUCAGAGUCCAAGAAUUUUUCAGGAGGCAAAUAUUUGACUGCAAGGUGUUUUGUCCGCCUGUAAUUGGGUGUGCAGGAGGCUUACAGCAAAUUCAAGACAAUAUAACGCACUAUUCCCAAACAGAGCGCUGACAAAACAAAGUUUAGAAGAAAACGCACUAUCUCCAAAGACACCGCGGGCAAAACAGGAUUUGCAGUGCUGGCAAUAACUAAAUAAUUGAAGUAAUGCAAUUAGAUAGCUGGAAUGUUGCGGCAGACUGUAGGGCAUGUCAAGUGAGCAACAUUGUAAUUGAUUUUCCAAACGAUUUGCAGAACUCUUCACAAAAAUCAACGCAAUAUAACGUACGACUCCAGAGGACAGGAUAGGCAAAAGAGGUUCUCAGGAAAAUGUUGCAGUGAAGCAUGAUUUUGAAUGUAAACGAGAUAAUUAUCAUUUCAAAGGUAUCCAAGUCAAUCAAAAAUCAAAAUUGGGAUGCACUAUGAACACGUUUCGAGGGGCAACCAGGCUAUUAACGAGAUUUCCCUCCAGUAUGAUGACUGUGGAUAUAAUUAUGCCACAAGUUAUCCCUCAAUUUUCUUUUUCCCCAGAAACAAAACAUCACGGUGCACAAAACCAGUUGGGAAGUCGAACUUGGUGUGCCUGCAAGUGCAGUUUGGAAAGUUUUUAAAAAGAACAUGGACGUAUUUCCCAAGUCGCUGUCCAACAUUGUUACCUCCAUUGAACUACUGGAAGGAGAUGGCGGAGUUGGCACUCUGUUUCUCUUUACUUUUGGUGCAGGUAAUCAUUUAGCUGUCAGCUGCUGAAUUUGUACUGUUAAUAGUAUGCACAUUUGGCACCUACAAAUAUGUGCAUUUUAGACCAAGGGAGCUUAGAAUGGCCAAGGCAAGUCUCAGCAAUGCCUGCUUCACAUAUGUAACUACAGUAGGCAGAUUUAGCUCCUGCCAAAUUUGCCAAAAUACGACUGUACCAAUUGGGCAUGCUUGGCAGCUGUUGAAUGUGUUAAACAUAAUAGAUUGAGGAGCUGCAACUGCUCAUAAUGGAAGUGGAAGUGGUCCAAUGCUAAAAUGGUUUUUGACUGGAGAUCUAUGCAACUGUUUGAUAACCUUGUUGAAGCAUAAGCAUCGAUGUUGUAGCCCAAGAAUAUCAUCUAUAGCUUGAGAAACAUUUGUUGUUGAGUGGCAUUUAAAGGUCGAUUCUGGAUUUAGGUUUAUAUUGGAGCUCACAGAUUUCACACUAAUUAAUUGAAUUAUAUUUAGAUUA